rnacentral:rRNA from 1 species
AACGAACGCUGGCGGCGUGCUUAAGACAUGCAAGUCGUACGGAAAGGCCCCCUUCGGGGGGCACUCGAGUGGCGCACGGGUGAGUAACGCGUGGGUAAUCUGCCUUCGGGUCUGGGACAACCCCGGGAAACUGGGGCUAAUACCGGAUGAGACCACGGACUCCUUGGAGUCUGCGGAAAAGAUGGCCUCUCCUUGGAAGCUAUCGCCCGUCGAUGAGCCCGCGUCCCAUUAGCUUGUUGGUGAGGUAACGGCUCACCAAGGCUUCGAUGGGUAGCUGGUCUGAGAGGAUGAUCAGCCACACUGGAACUGAGACACGGUCCAGACUCCUACGGGAGGCAGCAGUCGGGAAUUUUGGGCAAUGGGCGAAAGCCUGACCCAGCAACGCCGCGUGAGGGAUGAAGGCCCUCGGGUCGUAAACCUCUGUCGGGAGGGAAGAACGGUUGCCCUUCGAACAGGUGGGCAGCCUGACGGUACCUCCAAAGGAAGCACCGGCUAACUCCGUG